rnacentral:rRNA from 1 species
UACAGAGGGGUCAAGCGUUAUUCGGAAUUAUUGGGCGUAAAGGGCGCGUAGGCGGCCUGGCAAGUGGAUGGUGAAAUCCCUCGGCUUAACCGAGGAACUGCCAUCCAGACUGCUUGGCUUGAGACCGGGAGAGGUGAGUGGAAUUCCCAGUGUAGCGGUGAAAUGCGUAGAUAUUGGGAGGAACACCAGUGGCGAAGGCGGCUCACUGGACCGGUACUGACGCUGAGGCGCGAAAGCGUGGGGAGCAAACGGG